AGAGUUUGAUCCUGGCUCAGAUUGAACGCUGGCGGCAGGCCUAACACAUGCAAGUCGAGCGGUAACAGGAAGAAGCUUGCUUCUUUGCUGACGAACGGCGGACGGGUGAGUUAUGCCUGGGAACUUGCCUUUGGGUUGGGGGAUACCAUGGAAACUGUAGCUAAUACGCAUAUAUGUACGCAUCAAAUUGGGGAUCUUCGGACCUCACGCCAAGAGAUAGGCCCAAUUGAGAUUAGCUAGUUGGUGGGGUAAAGGCUCACCAAGGCGACGAUCUCUACCUGUUCUGAGAGGAUGAUCAGCCACCCUGGGACUGAGACACGGCCCAAACUCCUACGGGAAGCAGCAGUGGGGAAUAUUGCACUAUGGGGGAAACCCUGAUGCAGCCAUGCCGCGUGUGUGAAGAAGGCCUUCGGGUUGUAAAGCACUUUCAGUGGUGAGGAAGGUUGGUAGCUUAAUACGCUACCAAAUUGACAUUAGCCACAGAAGAAGCACCGGCUAACUCCGUGCCAGCAGCCGCGGUAAUACGGAGGGUGCGAGCGUUAAGCGGAAUUACUGGGCGUAAAGCGUACGUAGGCGGCUUAUUAAGCAAGAUGUGAAAGCCCCGGGCUCAACCUGGGAAUUGCAUUUUGAACUGGUAGGCUCGAGUUUAGAAGAGGGUGGUAGAAUUUCCAGUGUAGCGGUGAAAUGCGUAAAUAUUGGAAGGAAUACCAGUGGCGAUGGCGGCCACUAGUCAAAAACUGACGCUGAGUACGAAGCGUGGGGACCAACAGGAUUAGAUCCCUGGUAUUCCACCCGUAGACAAUUCA
rnacentral:rRNA from 1 species